rnacentral:tRNA from 1 species
GCCUUCGUGGCGUAACGGUUAGCACACUCGGUGCGAAAUCGAUAGGUCCAGGUUCAAGUCCUGGUGAGGGUA